rnacentral:tRNA from 2 species
GGGCUGGUAGCUCAAUUGGUAGAGCGCCUCGGUCGCAUCGAGGAGGUUGUGAGUUCGAGUCUCAUCCAGUCCA